UACAGAGGUCUCAAGCGUUGUUCGGAUUCAUUGGGCGUAAAGGGUGCGUAGGCGGCGCGGUAAGUCGGGUGUGAAAUCUCGGAGCUUAACUCCGAAACUGCAUUCGAUACUGCCGUGCUUGAGGACUGGAGAGGAGACUGGAAUUUACGGUGUAGCGGUGAAAUGCGUAGAUAUCGUAAGGAAGACCAGUGGCGAAGGCGGGUCACUGGCCCGGUACUGACGCUGAGGUGCGAAAGCGUGGGGAGCAAACAGG
rnacentral:rRNA from 1 species